UGAGAUAAGGCAUCGGAACAUAGUAAAACUUUAUGGUUUUUGUUCGUAUGCACUACACUCAUUUCUGGUUUACGAGUACCUUGAAGGCGGUAACUUGGCCACAAUCCUAGGCAAUGAUAAAAAAGCUGAAGAUUUGGAUUGGAGUAAGAGGGUGAACAUUGUUAAAGGUGUUGCCAAUGCCCUGUCUUACAUGCACCACAAUUGCUCACCACCAAUUAUUCAUCGAGACAUAGCAAGCAAAAACAUUAUGCUUGAUUCUGAAUUCGAGGUUCACAUAACAGAUUUUGGCACUGCCAAGCUUCUAAAUCCUGAUUCAUCCCAUUGGACUGCACUGACAGGAGCAUAUGGA
rnacentral:misc_RNA from 1 species